GACGACUAACUGUUCACCUGGCAAAGAAUCUCCUUCCCUGACAACUUGAUCAUCAGAAAAAGCUUUUUGGAAGCACAUUCAGUCAGCAAAGACUCCUAAGUAUGUGAUUGUAUUUCUGAAGAUUGGAUAUUCUCAUGUGGUUUGGAGCUUUCGUGGGCAAAGUUUUGUGAAAAACAGAGAUCAGAAAAGGUGCUUGAAUAAUCCUGCAUUUGAUGGAAUACCAAACAACUGAUUUUGCAAAAGAUACUAACAUUCAGUUAUAUAAUAAUCAACAGAAACCAAGUUGGUGGUCCGACGACCAUUCCAUGGUCAAAAAUCUCCGUCAAAUAAGUUUGACUUUGGUUUACCCAAAAAAGGGGAAGAGCUUGACUUUCCACUCUUACCUUUUCUUUCCUUAAACUUGUCAAGAAAUGAUCUCAGUAAAUUUUCUCAAACAAGAUAAGAAAAUUGGCUAGGCAGCUAGCAUAUCAAAGUUAUAGUACCCCGUUUUUCCCAACCUCUAGAAACUAAUGGCUCUAACAUUGCUUAUGGUAUGUCACCAUUAUGCUUAUGCAUGCCCAUUUCUCAGACCAUAAAUCUUUUGUUUUAUAAUUCCAGAAGUAAAGAAUAAAUACACAACUUACCUUAAAAAUUUUU
rnacentral:lncRNA from 1 species